UGACUUAAAAAGAAACUGGUAUUAAUCUCCUUUAAAUUAAAUUCAGAAGUUUUGAUGGUAAAAAAAUUUAUUGAGUCUAUUUCAAAAACAACAAGCACAUCUUAAUUUAAAAAUUUGUAGACCAAGAUAUAAAUAAUUUAGUGACUGCUACUCAAGUAGACAACCCUGUUCUUUGUAUAUGUGAAAGCGCUUGUUAUGCCUACAUGUGAAGAUAAUGAAAGAUUAAGGUUAGUAUCUGUGAAAUUAAAUAAAAAUAAUUGUGUGAAAGAUUUCACGAAAGAAUCUUGUGAGAAAUAACAAGAAAUUAAUUGGGAAAGUGAAAUAAUAAGUGUCAUGAAAAGUGGGCAUGAAAAAUAAAUUCAUUAGUAUUUGAUAAUCAAGCUCGAGGUACUAAAUUAAAUAAAGCGUAGAAGUGUAAUCAGUCAGGACUAAGUGUGAAAUAAUAUUCGUGUAAUAGUUAAGAAAUGUAUUCGCAUUAUGCUAAGAUAUAAUUGCAUUAUGAAAUAAGAUCAUGACAUGAUUUAAAAAGAAAAGUGAACAAGAGAGUAAAAUCAUGUAAUAUGCAUAUAUGUAUAUAUGUAUAUAUUUCGGAAUAUAAAGUACAAUUGAAAUAUGAAUUAUAAUCAUGAAAUAUAAUAAAGUAUCAUGCUUAAAUAAAUAAAAUCGUGCAAUCACAUAAAAACCUUGGUAAACUAGGCAAGACUCGUGGAAUAUAUUUGGCAUGAUAUAGGAACUUGAUCGCUUUCAUGUUAUUCGUGUUACUCGUGACACUAUGAUGCAAAUAGUGUUAUUCGUGAUAUUCAUAUUUGUUCUGUGUAUCCUUCGUGGUUCUCCAUCGCUUAUUCAAGGUAUUUGUGUAAGAAAGAAGUAAAAUAAAGGUCAUAAAGUGAAUAAAAAAUGAGUCAUGAAUAAAUUAAGUAAUAAUAUGUGGUAAGUAAACCUCUAAGAUCAUGUAUUAUGUUUAUGGUAUUAAGUGAUAAAAAUAUUUCUUGGUAAUUCAUCUAUAAAAUGACAUAUCAUGAAUAAUCGUGAUUAUAAAGAAGUAAUGUAUUGAAAAGAUUUUAUAUUAAAUAUCUAAUUAGAAUUAGAAUUCAUGCAAAUACUUACUAAGCUACCGUGAAGCUUAACACGAUAUUUCAAAUGCGUAGUGUGCAGAUAGUGCUCAAGAGGAAAAAGAGCUCAUUUAAGCUAAAGGAUCACAUCUUAUCUUCAAUAUGGCAUGGAUUAUGAAUUAUGAAGGCAAAUUAUGAAAUUAGAGUGGCAUGUACAUAGGUCAACAAUUUAUUGAAAUUGAAAAAUAGUGUUGUAAGUGUAUUGAUGUCUUGAAGUCAAAUGGAAAAUUUUAAGGUAAAUGUGGAUAAUUGUUAUUUAGUGAAAUUAGAGCCCAAAUGUGGCAUCCUUCACUUAGGUUAUCAAUUUAAAUCAGGUAAGGGGUGUUACAGGUAUCCCUUAAUAUACUUUAGCUUUUGAUAAGCUGUAACAUUGAAAAACACAAGCAUACCUCCAACAUAUUUAACAAUAUUUCUUGAAGCAACCAUUACUUUAUUUUCAGUUAGCCCUUCAAUUUUAGACAACUUUUCAAAUAAGGUUUCAUAUUUUUGGGCAACCAUUGGCUUAGUUUUAAAAUUCCUAACCUAGCUAGAUUGUUCAAUGAAGACUCAAGCCUAUCACCACGCUCUUUUGCCAUAUUAACAAGAUCACAGGUUUCAUUGAUCUUUACAUAUAUUGACAUAACAUAGCUCUUAUCAACAAUUUUUGGGGAAUUCAAGUCCUCAUACUUUCCUUAAUCAUUAUAUUCAACUUCAUUAAUCUCGUCUAUGAUAUCAAUAGUAGAUUGAACAUUCUUUUUAGUAGCUUUCUCUUUCCCAUAGAUCAUGGUGAUCUCAUCAAAAUAAAGGAAACUUAUCAUCCCCCAAGUGCUCCAUUUUUGUUGCUCUACCAAAAUUGAAAUGUAACACCUAGACUUGGCGAAGUCUUGAAUCUGGGCGUAUAGGUAAAAGGAAAUUUGGUUGGCACGAUCCUACUCACCCUAUUGAUGUUUCGGUGCCCUAGUGGGGUGCAUAGGCAAUAAUGGAAAGUUAAAUGUAGGAAUGUCAUCUGUAAAGUAUGAGUAUAUGAAGGAGAAAUUGACAAAAGAUGUCAAGGGUUCGUGAGUUGUAUAGCAUGUCGCUAAGAUUAAGGCACGCCUAGAUAGUUUAGUUGAUGUGUAGGUAGUACAGUAACAAGAUAGUUAGAAAUGAACGAUUAGUCAAAUCGAAAAUAUGAAAAGAUUUUGAAUUCUUAUACACGGUUCAUCAUAACUCUAGGCCACCAAUGAGGAUAGAUUUAAAAGUUGAGUGACGUGUCAAGUCUCAUAAUAGAAGCAAUGAUUUUUACUAAGAAAGCUUUUGAACGAAGGAAGGUUAUCUUUUUCCUUCUAUUUAAGGGAGCACGAUGACUAGCUUCAUAUAAUUGUUGAUUAUGAGGUUUUCCUGCGAUAGUAAGACUAGCGAUUAGAGUUCAAGCAUAGGGUUGUUUGUCCACCCGGGGUAAGUGUUCUAGACUCAUAUGAGUUUCUCUUACGAAAGUGAGCUUGCUUGAGUGUAUAUAGAAAGAUAUAGAAGUAAGGCCUUAUAUAGAGUUAAGUUUUGACAGCAUUCUUAUGUCAUACAAAUAGUGGCCUUCAAGAGUCCGUCUGUAGAUGUAUGAACUUGGAAUCUAAGCUGCUAUUAAUGUUAUCAGGUGAGUCUCUAGACUAACUCUUACAUGUAUAUUGUAGUCUAGAUAUUUCUGUGCUAAUUGACUAAAGAAUGAAACUGGAACUAGUAAAACAUGACUCUAUGACUCUGAAAAGGAAAUAAACAGUAUACGUAUAUGUAUAUUUGAAAGAUGAAUAUGUCUGUUAUGAGCUAGUCACUGUUUGAACAAGUUUCUUAUAAAAGAGUCUAUUAUGAGUAAGUCUAUGCAUGAAGUUUAAGGGAAUGUGUUACAUGUCUAUAAGCAUGAAUGCAUCUGUUAUGAAGAAGUCUAAAAAAAAAGUUUGUCAAGUAUAAGUCUGCAUGAUGAAUAUGUGUUUGUCUCCAUAGUCGUCUAGAGAAGUCCAUCGGGACUAAAAACAUGAAUCUCUAAUAAGGACAAGUUCAUGUUCAUGACAUUCUGACGACCAUAUAGUGUAAGACCUUUGCUAGGCCACGACAUCAUAUGGAAUAUGUAAAGGACGGUUGGGUAAGUACCAGCCAUAAGGGGAAAACCUCACGACAGUUAGUAUAGGUGAAUCCCUAUCAUUAAAAAACAUUAUUUUUCGUAAAAGGAUGCCUUUGUGACUAUUUUUGAAAGGAUGUCUUUGUGGCUAUCUCAGUUAAAAGUGAGCCUUUGUGGUAGUUUCCGUAAGGAAGCCUUUGUGGCUAUCUCUGUUAAAAAGGAAGUCCUUGUGGCAAUCUCUAAUAAAAAGAAUGCCUUUGUGACUUUUUCUGUUAGAAGGAUGCCUUGUGGUAAGACUCUAAAAGGAAAGCCUUUGUGGCUAUUUUUGGAAGGGAAUGCUUUCAUGGCGAAAUUUGAAGAAUGGAGUUUAUGAUGAUUAUUUGAAGACAAUGCCUUCGGGCGGACUUUGAACGAAUGGCGAACAUGAAAUUCUGAGAAUUGGCAAGUGCAUAUUAGCUUUGAAAAAAAGGCAAUAUGGAAUGUUAUGGCGAAGUCUGUACAAUCAAUAGGGUCAAAUUCAUGAACGAGAAAUAAAUGACGAAAUCCUUGAAUAAAUGCUCAGGUAAGAGAGGGCUUUCUCACUAAGUUCUAUCGAACUUACCCCUCUGUGUUUUAUGUUUUAGGUAAGGGAGACGUUAAGAGGGACAAUGCCAGGGCUGUGCCAAAGGAGUGGCGAAGUGGGCACUCAUGCAUACAAAGUGGGGGCUGCACAGGCAUGUUGAGUCUGAUAGAAAUGUUAUUGUACAAGCCUCAAAAAUUGAUUUGUAGGCUUCAUGGAGUGAUUAGACUGUGUUGGGCAAUAAAUGAAAUCAGCAAUAUUAUUUAGAGGUUGAAUAAGAGGGAACGGUACAAGCCAAUAUGAUGUGUAACUAUAUUUGCAAGUUUCAAACAUAGAGUACACCCAAAUGUAACCUUGACAGGAAAUAUUAUUAAGUAAGAUGUAUUUUUUUGGAAAUUCAAAUGUUUUAAGCUUGUAUAAUUCUGUAAUAGUAACGUAACACCCGAGAUUAGGAUUCAAUGAAUCAGGUCGGGUUGAGGGCGUUACAAGUUUUGGUAUCAGAGUCUAGGUUUAGGCAGUCCUCAGACUAUGAAAGAUGAAAGAGCCAUGUAUCCAUAGUGCGCCAAGCCUGGCUUAAUUCCUUAGGUAUGGUAGACUUUUCUUACCAUAAAAAUUGAUGUUGUCGUAAUAGUUAAAUGAUAAAAGGCUAAAGAUGGAAUCAAAGAAUAGAGUAAGAACAAAUGACCAUUCUAUCUAUAAAAGAUGUCCUACUAAAAGAGAUGUACAAGGCAAGAUUAAAAAAAUAUUAUUUUCCUCCCUCUACGGGUUGAUUAUCAGGCCCAACCGAAGCCUUAUUUGGUGGAAGAUAACCUUCAGGAUCCACACCACACCCACUAAGUUUUCUUUCUUAUCAUUAAUUUUGGGCGUAGAAGGGGUAGAGAAGACAAUAAAUUUCUUCCACAUCUCCUGAAAGGCCUUUCACUCCUCACCUUCGGGAUUGUAAACAUUGAAGUCGAUUGAGUCUCUGGAAACACCCUUUAAAUGCUAGAACUUACCUUGCUCAGGUUGACCGGAUCUAUGGCUAUUUAGGCAUGCAAAAUCAAAUUUUCCCUCCGCUUAGGAAAGACCUUGACAACGUUUCUCUGAGUAUCUUCCUAGUACUUUUUAAGGACCUCGUCAUGAAAAUGGCGCUGGCUGUCUAGAGUUGCUUGAUGACUCAUAUCCAUGAACUUAAGUUUCUCAUCAAAGGCGAGCUUCUCAUUCGUCAAGGAAAUGACCUCCUUUAAAUGUUCAAUUUCAGUCUGAGCCUCUUCGUGUUUCUCUGUCAAGAUCAAGAGUUGUAUAUCCAUUUUUCCAAUAAGGGAAUUGGCCUCCCUAUGCCUCUAGCAUAGUUCAGCAAAUGAGUCUUCUCUAACUUUCACAACCUUCUCUAAGUCAGAUAGUAUGCUCCUAUAACGCUGGCUAGCAUUUUUGUAAGCCCUGCCCCAAAGACUUUUCUUAAUAGAUGAGAUUUUAGAAACUUGGGCUAUGACAGCGAAAUGAUCCCCGUUUGAAACAUUUGAGAAAUAAGAGGAGAAAUAUUCCUCAAUUGUGGGGGCAACGAACUUAACUAUUGAUGAGAAAGAACGUUCAGAGGCGUUGAGCUUGGCACAGACUCCAGAAUGGCAUGCCAAUGGAAGAUACUACUUGACCUAACAAGGGCAACGUUAGGGGUUUGAAGAAAUAACAUGGUUGGAUGGACCGCAGGAGUCUCUUCCAUAGGACUUGAAGAUCGGGAAAGACCUAAAGGAAGUAUAAAAGAGCCAGGGCAAGGAGUAAAAUCCCCUGGAAUCGAUGAGACCUCAAGAAGGGCAAGGGAUAAUGCCUUACUAAAGGAGGACACCUACUACUUUCUGACUUUAGGGUGCUCUCGUCUGAUCUAAUCCUCUUCUUUGAUUUUUGUACUGCUGAUUUUUUAGGCAAAGCAGCAGGAGUCCUUCUUGAACUAUGAACUCGCUUAAGAAUUAAGGUGACAUCCAUCUCUUGAGAACUGGAAAAAGAGAAAGAUCUUACACCAUCAAUGAGAGAGUUAUCCCGAAAAGAAAAAAAAGUAGAAUCAGAAACAACACUAGUAAUAAUAUUUCAGUUUCGUGUUGAGAAACCGCAAAUACGGUAAAAGUAGGAAGGAGGCUUUCUUUUAUGCCAUAACAGUAUUUUCUCUAAGUCAUCAUCUGAGCUAUACAGCCAGGCCCCGUAAGCAGAAAGCACCCUCUGACCAUUCAACUUUACACUAGGCUCAUUCCUUUGUAAGCCAUUUGGGCUAAGUUCUUAAAGGUAAUAUUGAAACAUGUUUCUCACCAAAACCAGUUUCACUAAGUCCAACACUCGUCCUUUUUUCAGUCGCUCAAUCUAAAUCUUGAAGAGUUUUGAAUCGAUCGACUAGCAUUAUUUACAAGUGCUCUUCUUAUGGAGAGACCACUUAGUAGGAAAACCUAAAUAAGACCUAAAAUUACUGAUAAGACAUAUGUAUUUGCCCUUUUACUAAUGAAGGUUUGAGAUGUGGUUUUGGAUGAUUAGCUCACACCCCGAAUGCACGCUAAAGUGAGCGCUUCCAGCAAAAACACCCUAUCUAGUCAAUUUUAGUUGAUAAAAUUUUUGGAAGACACGCAACAUUGGUGGUUCCUUAUGUAUACAAUAGUCAAUGUAAUAAGCCACCAGAUUCCACCAAGAUGUAGUUGAUAGUUGCCCCGAUAUGAUACGAUAUUUAUUUAAAAUGGCAUAGCAGAAAUGAUUUAGAGGCAAAUGGAAUCCAGCUUCUAAAAGGAUCAAGGGUAAAAUGAACCCUCUAGAAUUACUACUCAAACAAUUAUGAUCGAGUAUUUGGAAGGUCUAGGUAAAUUUUUGGGUUUUGAUGCCUCGAGCCUCUAAGUAACAAGUCCUUUCAUCUCGGGUAGUGCUAUAGGUAACUGGUGAGGUUUCUACUCUAGGAAAAGUAAUUUUGAGAUUCUGACAACCAGAUGGAUUGAAGCUAGCCUGAAUAAGGGUUUAAUCAGUUUGGUUAUGGCUUAUCUAUCAUGUGGUAGUGCAAACCAUUGUGAUGACAAGUAACGCAAAAAUGAAAAAAGAGAAAGAAAUGAUGAAUGAUACCUUGAACUGACGAAGACAAAUAAGCAAAAAAUGGGUUGAGCAGACAAGAGAAUUUUAGGGAUUUAAAGUAUUUGCUAAAAAAUAGGGAGAAAAAUAUAUUGAAAUGAUGGGAUUAAAUAAGAGAAAUCUUACACAGAAAGUUAAGGUGAGACGACCAAUUUAUAUACUCCAAUAGGGUGACGACGUUUAUCAAAAAAGGGGGUACAAAAAUUUGAAAACUCAGGUGCGACCGCUCCAGUUUAAGUUUGCCAAUACUACAGAAAUUUCAAGGUCAAAAUUUUCUAAGAGAGGAAGAGUUGUAACAUCGAGCCUUGGCAAAGUCCUUAGUCUGGGUGUGUAGGUCAAAGGAAAUUUGGUUGGCGUGAUCCUACUCACCCAAUUGACGUUUUGGUGUGCUAGUGAGGCGUAUAGAAAAUAAUGGAAAGUUAGAGGUAGGAAUGUCCUCCGUAAAGUAUGUGUACAUGUAGAAGGAAAAAUUGGCAAAAGAUGUCAAGGGUUUGUGAGUGGUAUAGGAUGUCGCCAAGAUUAAGGUGUGUUUAGAUAGUUUAAUUGAUGUGUAGGUAAUACACUGACAAGAUAGUUAGAAAUGAACAAUUGGUCAAAUUAAAAAUAUAAAAAGAUUUUGGAUUCUUAUACACAGUUCCUCAUAGCUGUAGGCCACCAAUUAGAACAUAUUUGAAAGUUGAAUGACAUGUGUCAAGUCUCACAGUAAAAACAAUGAUUUUUUCUAAGAAAACUUCUGAAUGAAGGAAGAAAGGUUAUCUUCUUCCUUCUAUUUAAGGGAGCACGAUGGCUACCUUCAUAUAAUUGUUGAUUAGGAGGUUUUCCUGCGACAAUAAGACUAGCGAUUAGAGUUCAAGUAUAGGGUUGUUUGUUCAUCCACGGUAAGUGUUCUAGACUCACAUGAGUUUUUCUUGCGAAAGUGAGCUUGCUUGAGUAUAUAUAGAAAUAUAUAGAAAUAAGGCCUUGCAUAGAUUUAAGUUUUGAUAGCAUUCUUAUGUCAUACAAAUAGUGGCCUUCAAGAGUCCGUCUAUGGAUGUAUGAAAUUGGAACCUAAGCUGCUAUUAAUGUUACCAGGUGGGUCUCUAGACUGACAUUUACAUGUAUAUUGCAGUCUAGAUAUUUCUGUGCUAAUUAACUAAUGUAUGAAACUGGAACUAGUAAAGCAUGACUCUAUGACUCUGAAAAGGAAAUAAACAGUAUACGUAUAUGUAUAUUUGAAAGCAUGAAUAUGUCUGUUAUGAGCUAGUCACUGUUUGAACAAGUCUGUUGUAAAAGAGUCUAUUAUGAGUAAGUCUAUGCAUGAAGUUUAAGGGAAUGUGUUACAUGUAUGUAAGUAUGAAUGCAUCUAUUAUGAAGAAGUCUAAAAAAAACAAGUUUGUCAAGUAUGAUUCUGCAUGAUGAACAUGUAUUUGUCUCUAGAGUCGUCUAAAGGAGUCCACCGAGACUAAAAUAGGAAUCUCUAAUAAGAACAAGCCUAUGGCCAUGGAAUUCUGAAGACCAUAUAGUGUAAGACAUUGGCUAGGUCACAACAUCAUAUGGAAUAUGUAAAGAACGGUUGGGUGAGUACUAUCAAUAAGGGGCAAACCUCACGAUGGUGAGUAUAGGCGAAUACCUAUCAUUAAAAAAGUACCAAUUUUUGUAAAAGGACGUCUUUUUGGCUAUCUCAAUGACAAGUGAGCCUUUGUGGUUAUCUCUACUAAAGAAGUGACUUUGUGGCAGUUUCUGUAACAAAGUCUUUAUGGCUAUAUUUGUUAAAAAGGAAGCCCUUGUGGCGAACUCUGUUAAAAUGGAAGCCUUUAUGACGAUCUCUAAUAAAAAGAAUGCCUUUGUGGCUUUUUUUGUUAGAAGGAUGCCUUGUGGUAAGACUCUGAAAGGAAAGCCUCCGUGGAUAUCUUUGGAAGGGAAUGCCUUCGUGGCGAAAUCUGAAGAAUAGAGCUUAUGAUGACCAUCUAAAGACAACGCCUUCGAGCGGACUCUGAACGAAUGGCGAACAUGAAAUUCUAAGAAUUGGCAAGUUCAGAUUGCUUUGAAAGAAAAGCUAGUAUGGAAGGUUAUGGCGAAGUCUGUACAAUCAAUUGGGUCAAAGUCUUGAAAGAGAAACAAAUAACGAAAUCCUUGAAUAAGCACUCAGGUACGAGUGUGCUUUCUCACUAAGUUCUAUCUAACUUACCCCUUUGUGUUUUAUGUCUUAGGUAAAAGAGACACCAGAAGGGACGAUGCCAGGGUUGUGCCAAAGGAGUGGCAAGGUGGGCACUCAUGCAUACAGAGCGGGGGGUUGCAUGAGAAUGUUGAGUCCGAUAGAAAUGUUAUUGUACAAUAUUUAGAAAUUGAUUUGUAGGCUUCAUAGAGUGAUUAGACCGUUUUGGUCAAUAAAUGAAAUCAACAAUAUUAUUUAGGGGAUGAAUAAGGGGGAAUAGCACAAGCCAAUGUGAUGUGUAACUAUAUUUGUAAGUUUCGAAUAUAGAGUACGCCUAAAUGUAACCUUGAUGGGAAGUAUUAUUAAAUAAGAUGUAUUUCUUUGGAAAUUCAAAUGUUUUAAGCUUGUAUAAGUCUGUAAUAGUAACAUAACACCUGAGAUCCAGAUUCUAUGAAUCAGGUUGGGUUGAGGGCGUUACAUGAAAAUUCUAUGAAAUGUGUAAAAAAAAUCUUUCAAUUCAACCCAAACAUAAUAAAACAUUUAAUUGUGCUUGUUAUUAAUUGAUAAAUAUGACAUUUAAGACAAAAUAAUUUACUUAACUUCAUAAUUGCAUCCCAAAUAGGUUAUUUUGUCAUAACAAUUUUUCUAUAGUGUUUCAUCCAAAAACAAUACUAUUAUGCCCAUAAAUCAUAUCAUAUCCAACUCCUCAUUCUUUCUUCAAAGUCUUAAGCCUCAAAUCUAUAUAAGGUUUAGCUUUCGAGUCACAUCAAGGAUAUUUAUCCUUUAACAUCUUUUCCAAAAUUGAUAAAUAGCCUUGGUUAAAGCCACAAUCAACAUUUUACAUUCCAAUGCUAUAUAGAUUCAUCAUGCAUAAAAUAAGUUUAAGAGUCUUUAAUUUCAUUUCAAUGCCUAUUUGUAUCUUUGACUGGUCGGCUAAAUAAUUCAUCUAAUUUGGAGUAUUAUCCUACCAUUAAUAUUUAAACAAAAUAAAAUUAUAAAAACUAUUUCGUAAGGUUAAAUUUAGUUCAAAAUAUACCACAAACACCUCAAUGAAACAAAAUAGUAAAACAAUAUAAAAUUUCCAAAUUUAAAUGAAAAUAUAAACAAACAUUAUUAUUAGAAGGUUUUGGUAUCAGAAAGUUCAAUAUGGUGCAAAAUAUACUACACACAUUAACGAAAAAUGUCAUACAAAAAUGAGAAAAAAAUGCAGAAUAACAAUGAAAAAAACCCAUAUAAGAUAAUAUAGUGAAGCUCAAUUUCCUUCUUUUGUUACCUUUCAUUGAUUCAACAUUUGAUUAGUAAGUUGAGUUUUGAAAUUUAUCCAUUCAUUCUAAUUAAUUAUAUUUAUUCAUUUUCAAUAUAUUUCAUUUCAUUAAUUCCUAAUGCAUUUAAGUUUCCUUCUAUAGGACUCACUUACAUUUCUCUCUUUAUUAAGUUGUGUAAAAGGAAAAGUGCAAUGAUAAUUGCAUUUUUAGGUCUUAAUGAGGUAGAAUGCAAGACUUGUUAAUAUCAUCCAAUGUAGUUUCAUCAAGUCAAAGCAUCUUUCUAUUAUAUUGCAUGCAAAAGCAUGCCUCAUAUUGAAAAAUUGUGCAGUAAUAGCAAGUUGACCGUCAUACUUACAUUCACUUAACCUGUAAUGUUGUCCCCUAAAAGUGGCUAAAAACCAUCACAAUUGGUAUACCCUGCAUCAACGAGGUAAUAACAACUUAAAAAUACAAAUUAUAACUCUUACAUUACAAUUUAAGGUUUUUACACUACAAAAUUUAAUGUAUAAUUAUCUUACCUUGUGGCACUUUUGAACCAUUGGGCCAAUUAUUUGCAUCUCGGAGGACUCUACUAUUAGCAAAAAAAUCUUCUCAACCAGGAAGAACAUACACAAAUUGCAUAUCAAGAAUACAAACGCCUCUAUAAUAGGCCCAAAUCUUUUAAAUCACAAUAAUAAUUAAACAAUGUAAUAAUUAGUAAUAUAAAACUUAAUAUUAUCUUGCUUUUAUUAUUAAACAUACGAAAAUUAAAACUUAAUAUUAUCUUGCAUUUAUUAGUAGAUAUACCAAAAUUAAAGUACCUUGAACCAUUUCCAUCUUUUAUCUGUAAUAGGCCCAAAUCUUUUAAAUCUAAUUUUCCUUAUCCAAGGUUGGUCCUCCUCUGGUGUUUUUGCUAUGCAAGCAACUGACAACUAGGCCAAACAAUUUACCUAGUCUCCCUUUUCACAACAACUACCUUUCUUACCCCUAAUCUUGUGUUUGGUGACCCAUUUUUCUUUCCUUCUUAUUGUGAAAAUAAUUGAGCUUCUUUUUCCCUUUUCCUUGGUGUUGAUGGUUCAUCCUCCCUAAUGUCUUAUCCGACGAUCACACUAUUAGUCUCCCCAUUGGCGUUUUCUCCCUAGUGAUAGACUUCAUUUUCUUGAGCUUUGGCUUUUGUCACAUCCCAAAAACUGAGGGUUAGUAAAAUUGGAUUUGUGAACCAAGAGAGAGAGUGGUGAUGCCCUAAUUUUUGAGAUUAUCUAUGCCCCAAAAGAACUCCAUGGCCUCCUCUAUCUUCUUGCUUGAGUGUUAUUUUCUUUAAUUUUUCUUGAUGGAUCUUUCAAUAAAAUACACAAUUUUUCAGAUCUGAAAUUGCGGUAAUUUUUAAAGAUUUAAUGAGUAUUUUUCCGGUCUUUAAAGUGAUUUUUAAAUGUGAUUUUAAAUCUGUCCCAAAUUGGUCACCGUUGGUGGUGGUGUAUGCACCUAAAGGCUAGAAAGGGGGCUGUUGUUCCUUUAAUUUGUUAUCAUCUUGACAUCAACAUGGAAUUUGAAGAAAAAUUGAAGAGACAUAUCAUGGUGUGUGAAGAAAAAAGUAGUACCUCUUGAUUACUUCUGCCAUUGAUGAUGUUAAGUGGAAAGACCCCUCUCUAGUCUGAAGUUUGAAAAUGAUGAUCUAAUAAAUUAAAGAAGAUAAUAAU
rnacentral:lncRNA from 1 species